rnacentral:rRNA from 1 species
AUUGAACGCUGGCGGCAUGCCUUACACAUGCAAGUCGAACGGCAGCGCGGACUUCGGUCUGGCGGCGAGUGGCGAACGGGUGAGUAAUACAUCGGAACGUACCCUGUUGUGGGGGAUAACUAGUCGAAAGAUUAGCUAAUACCGCAUACGACCUGAGGGUGAAAGUGGGGGACCGCAAGGCCUCACGCAGCAGGAGCGGCCGAUGUCUGAUUAGCUAGUUGGUGGGGUAAAGGCCCACCAAGGCGACGAUCAGUAGCUAGUCUGAGAGGACGAUCAGCCACACUGGGACUGAGACACGGCCCAGACUCCUACGGGAGGCAGCAGUGGGGAAUUUUGGACAAUGGGGGCAACCCUGAUCCAGCAAUGCCGCGUGUGUGAAGAAGGCCUUCGGGUUGUAAAGCACCUUUGUCCGGAAAGAAAUCGCGCUGGUUAAUACCUGGCGUGGAUGACGGUACCGGAAGAAUAAGCACCGGCUAACUACGUG